UGAACUGUGGCAUCUGUGGCCACGGCUCGGUGGCGGAAGGGGCUCGGAGGAUUCCUGCCCCAUGACACCUUCCCCACUCCCCUCCCGAGCUCUCCGUCCUCUGCUCGGGGGGGCUGGGGUGUGUCUUGAAGCUGGAUCAGUGCCCCGAACUGGAUGGCAGACUGAUUUCACUACUAGAUGUGCCAGCACAGGAAGGACUGUGGUGCACGGAGGAAGCAACGUGGAGGGAGUCGUGGAUCACUGGAAACCGCAGCUGCCUCGGAGCUCGCCGUGACUCGGCAGACCAGGUCAAGAUGAAACCUAAUGUGGUGGCUGAUUAUCUUGCAGUCUUUUACACCAUCUUCCCUGAGCAUCCGAUGAUGUCCAGUAUCAAAAGUGGUUAUUGACUGAGAUAGGCACCUUCGCCCCGCCUCGUUAGGUCCUAAAAUCAAGCUCUGGUGCUCAGGCACUGCCGGAACAGCGCUGUGCAAAUGCCCUGCAGAGAUGUCCUGUCCCUAGAAGACAGCGAUGAUGAGCUCUACCAGCACAGCGAUAACCAGCUCCCUGGACAAAAGCUUUCUUCCCUGGAUGCUCUGAUUUGUCCCCAGCGUCUUACUCCACAUGGACUCGAUCCCACAUGCCCUAAUCUCAGAUUCAUCGGGAUUCAGGAGCGUGCUUUGGCUGGACCGGGUCCUAGCGCAGUAGGAAAUCAGCACCCUCGGGAUUUUUCGCUGGUGCAAACUCACCGCGGAGCCAUGGCAGAGCGUGGAGGGGAGGCUGCACCCCCCCGGGACAAGCAAACGUGGUGUUUGUGCUGUGACGUGAUCAAGCCUUUCCUUGCUUCCUGAAAUUUCAAGUCCUUCUUAAGUCUUUAUCUACGUGAAACCUUAUUCUGGAGUCCCUGCUCCUGAUUAACUCUCUGUAGACACCUAAAUAUUUGAAAAGCUGCUUAACCUUGGGGAACACCCCCAGCGAUUCACCGCAAAGAGCGGGGGCAGGGGAUUUUAAAAAGAAAAACAUUAUGCCCGCACUGUGCAACUCCACGACUGAGGGAAAUGCACCCGAGCCCGGGAAACUCUAUCCUGGGUUACUCACUGCGAGUAUUCCUUCCUUCCGAGAGGCUGUUUGUUUGUGUACGGCUGCCCCAGGCUAUCGCAGCAAAAUUCCUCGUGCUGAAGCAACUCCAUUCAUACGGGCAGGGCCGGCGCGAACGCACAGUCCGGCGACGCGCAGCAAACCAGCACCGGCCAGGAGCUGCAGAUGUAAACCCAAACUGAGCUGAGUUCAGCCCUCUUUACGUGCCCCCUUAGUAAUGCAAUUAGAAAUAGAGAGAAACAAAGCUGGAGGGAGAAAUCCCCGUCGUUUCUAUUUACACCAUGCAUCCAACAGACCUCCCCCUUUUCUGGAAGAGUUAC